GGUUAAGCGACUAAGCGUACACGGUGGAUGCCCUGGCAGUCAGAGGCGAUGAAGGACGUGCUAAUCUGCGAUAAGCGUCGGUAAGGUGAUAUGAACCGUUAUAACCGGCGAUUUCCGAAUGGGGAAACCCAGUGUGAUUCGUCACACUAUCAUUAACUGAAUCCAUAGGUUAAUGAGGCGAACCGGGGGAACUGAAACAUCUAAGUACCCCGAGGAAAAGAAAUCAACCGAGAUUCCCCCAGUAGCGGCGAGCGAACGGGGAGCAGCCCAGAGCCUGAAUCAGUGUGUGUGUUAGUGGAAGCGUCUGGAAAGGCGCGCGAUACAGGGUGACAGCCCCGUACACAAAAAUGCACAUGCUGUGAGCUCGAUGAGUAGGGCGGGACACGUGGUAUCCUGUCUGAAUAUGGGGGGACCAUCCUCCAAGGCUAAAUACUCCUGACUGACCGAUAGUGAACCAGUACCGUGAGGGAAAGGCGAAAAGAACCCCGGCGAGGGGAGUGAAAAAGAACCUGAAACCGUGUACGUACAAGCAGUGGGAGCCUCUUUAUGGGGUGACUGCGUACCUUUUGUAUAAUGGGUCAGCGACUUAUAUUCUGUAGCAAGGUUAACCGAAUAGGGGAGCCGAAGGGAAACCGAGUCUUAACUGGGCGUUAAGUUGCAGGGUAUAGACCCGAAACCCGGUGAUCUAGCCAUGGGCAGGUUGAAGGUUGGGUAACACUAACUGGAGGACCGAACCGACUAAUGUUGAAAAAUUAGCGGAUGACUUGUGGCUGGGGGUGAAAGGCCAAUCAAACCGGGAGAUAGCUGGUUCUCCCCGAAAGCUAUUUAGGUAGCGCCUCGUGAAUUCAUCUCCGGGGGUAGAGCACUGUUUCGGCAAGGGGGUCAUCCCGACUUACCAACCCGAUGCAAACUGCGAAUACCGGAGAAUGUUAUCACGGGAGACACACGGCGGGUGCUAACGUCCGUCGUGAAGAGGGAAACAACCCAGACCGCCAGCUAAGGUCCCAAAGUCAUGGUUAAGUGGGAAACGAUGUGGGAAGGCCCAGACAGCCAGGAUGUUGGCUUAGAAGCAGCCAUCAUUUAAAGAAAGCGUAAUAGCUCACUGGUCGAGUCGGCCUGCGCGGAAGAUGUAACGGGGCUAAACCAUGCACCGAAGCUGCGGCAGCGACGCUUAUGCGUUGUUGGGUAGGGGAGCGUUCUGUAAGCCUGCGAAGGUGUACUGUGAGGUAUGCUGGAGGUAUCAGAAGUGCGAAUGCUGACAUAAGUAACGAUAAAGCGGGUGAAAAGCCCGCUCGCCGGAAGACCAAGGGUUCCUGUCCAACGUUAAUCGGGGCAGGGUGAGUCGACCCCUAAGGCGAGGCCGAAAGGCGUAGUCGAUGGGAAACAGGUUAAUAUUCCUGUACUUGGUGUUACUGCGAAGGGGGGACGGAGAAGGCUAUGUUGGCCGGGCGACGGUUGUCCCGGUUUAAGCGUGUAGGCUGGUUUUCCAGGCAAAUCCGGAAAAUCAAGGCUGAGGCGUGAUGACGAGGCACUACGGUGCUGAAGCAACAAAUGCCCUGCUUCCAGGAAAAGCCUCUAAGCAUCAGGUAACAUCAAAUCGUACCCCAAACCGACACAGGUGGUCAGGUAGAGAAUACCAAGGCGCUUGAGAGAACUCGGGUGAAGGAACUAGGCAAAAUGGUGCCGUAACUUCGGGAGAAGGCACGCUGAUAUGUAGGUGAAGCGACUUGCUCGUGGAGCUGAAAUCAGUCGAAGAUACCAGCUGGCUGCAACUGUUUAUUAAAAACACAGCACUGUGCAAACACGAAAGUGGACGUAUACGGUGUGACGCCUGCCCGGUGCCGGAAGGUUAAUUGAUGGGGUUAGCGGUAACGCGAAGCUCUUGAUCGAAGCCCCGGUAAACGGCGGCCGUAACUAUAACGGUCCUAAGGUAGCGAAAUUCCUUGUCGGGUAAGUUCCGACCUGCACGAAUGGCGUAAUGAUGGCCAGGCUGUCUCCACCCGAGACUCAGUGAAAUUGAACUCGCUGUGAAGAUGCAGUGUACCCGCGGCAAGACGGAAAGACCCCGUGAACCUUUACUAUAGCUUGACACUGAACAUUGAGCCUUGAUGUGUAGGAUAGGUGGGAGGCUUUGAAGUGUGGACGCCAGUCUGCAUGGAGCCGACCUUGAAAUACCACCCUUUAAUGUUUGAUGUUCUAACGUUGGCCCCUAAUCGGGGUUGCGGACAGUGUCUGGUGGGUAGUUUGACUGGGGCGGUCUCCUCCUAAAGAGUAACGGAGGAGCACGAAGGUUGGCUAAUCCUGGUCGGACAUCAGGAGGUUAGUGCAAUGGCAUAAGCCAGCUUGACUGCGAGCGUGACGGCGCGAGCAGGUGCGAAAGCAGGUCAUAGUGAUCCGGUGGUUCUGAAUGGAAGGGCCAUCGCUCAACGGAUAAAAGGUACUCCGGGGAUAACAGGCUGAUACCGCCCAAGAGUUCAUAUCGACGGCGGUGUUUGGCACCUCGAUGUCGGCUCAUCACAUCCUGGGGCUGAAGUAGGUCCCAAGGGUAUGGCUGUUCGCCAUUUAAAGUGGUACGCGAGCUGGGUUUAGAACGUCGUGAGACAGUUCGGUCCCUAUCUGCCGUGGGCGCUGGAGAACUGAGGGGGGCUGCUCCUAGUACGAGAGGACCGGAGUGGACGCAUCACUGGUGUUCGGGUUGUCAUGCCAAUGGCACUGCCCGGUAGCUAAAUGCGGAAGAGAUAAGUGCUGAAAGCAUCUAAGCACGAAACUUGCCCCGAGAUGAGUUCUCCCUGACUCCCUGAGAGUCCUGAAGGAACGUUGAAGACGACGACGUUGAUAGGCCGGGUGUGUAAGCGCAGCGAUGCGUUGAGCUAACCGGUACUAAUGAACCGUGAGGCUUAACCUU
rnacentral:rRNA from 1 species